rnacentral:rRNA from 1 species
UACGUAGGAUGCAAGCGUUGUCCGGAAUUAUUGGGCGUAAAGGGUGCGCAGGGGUUUUUUCAAGUCAGAUGUGAAAUAUCCCGGCUUAACUGGGAGGGGCCAUUUGAAACUGAAAGACUAGAGUGCAGGAGAGGAUAGCGGAAUUCCCGGUGUAGUGGUGAAAUGCGUAGAUAUCGGGAGGAACACCAGUGGCGAAGGCGGCUAUCUGGCCUGCAACUGACGCUGAGGCACGAAGGCUAGGGGAGCGAACAG